AAUUAAAAUUUUCAUUAAUUUCUAUUGUUAAAAACUAGUGUGGUUGAUAGAAAAACCAAACAAUUAUACAUAACGUGUCACAUGUAUCUCGUGUCGAUGUAUAGGGACCAAUUUUUAAUAAUAGAAAUGGAUAAUUUUUUUUGACA
rnacentral:pre_miRNA from 1 species